rnacentral:rRNA from 1 species
UACGGAGGGUGCAAACGUUGCUCGGAAUCAUUGGGCGUAAAGCGUGCGCAGGCGGUGAUGUAAGACAGUUGUGAAAUCCCCGGGCUCAACCUGGGAACUGCAUCUGUGACUGCAUCGCUGGAGUGCGGCAGAGGGGGAUGGAAUUCCGCGUGUAGCAGUGAAAUGCGUAGAUAUGCGGAGGAACACCGAUGGCGAAGGCAAUCCCCUGGGCCUGCACUGACGCUCAUGCACGAAAGCGUGGGGAGCAAACAGG